AAAACUGCAGAUGCUCUGUUGAAUCCACUGGAGAUUGUUCUGAUACUAAGGACAAGUAUGCUCAUAUGACAUUAACAGACAAGACACUUUUCAGAAAGACAGGUUGUUCUUUUGGGCCACAUCUAAGAAAUCUUUGUCUAGCCAAAAGCCACAAAUAAUUUCUCAUUUUUUGGCUUCUGGAAGAUGUACAGUUAAAUGUUAUAUUUGGGACUGUUAUCUAAU
rnacentral:lncRNA from 1 species